rnacentral:rRNA from 1 species
GAUGAACGCUGGCGGCGUGCCUAAUACAUGCAAGUCGAGCGAACAGAUGAGGAGCUUGCUCCUCUGACGUUAGCGGCGGACGGGUGAGUAACACGUGGAUAACCUACCUAUAAGACUGGGAUAACUUCGGGAAACCGGAGCUAAUACCGGAUAAUAUAUUGAACCGCGUGGUUCAAUAGUGAAAGACGGUUUUGCUGUCACUUAUAGAUGGAUCCGCGCCGCAUUAGCUAGUUGGUAAGGUAACGGCUUACCAAGGCAACGAUGCGUAGCCGACCUGAGAGGGUGAUCGGCCACACUGGAACUGAGACACGGUCCAGACUCCUACGGGAGGCAACAGUAGGGAAUCUUCCGCAAUGGGCGAAAGCCUGACGGAGCAACGCCGCGUGAGUGAUGAAGGUCUUCGGAUCGUAAAACUCUGUUAUUAGGGAAGAACAAAUGUGUAAGUAACUAUGCACGUCUUGACGGUACCUAAUCAGAAAGCCACGGCUAACUACGUG